rnacentral:rRNA from 1 species
GGAGUUAGCCGGUGCUUCUUCUGUGAGUGAUGUCCUUCCUGCCGGUUAUUGACCCGCAGGCCUUCUUCCUCACUGAAAGUGCUUUACAACCCGAAGGCCUUCUUCACACACGCGGCAUGGCUGGAUCAGGGUUGCCCCCAUUGUCCAAUAUUCCCCACUGCUGCCUCCCGUAGGAGUCUGGGCCGUGUCUCAGUCCCAGUGUGGCUGAUCAUCCUCUCAGACCAGCUACGGAUCGUCGCCUUGGUGAGCCGUUACCUCACCAACCAGCUAAUCCGACAUAGGCUCAUCCGAUAGCGCGAGGCCCGAAGGUCCCCCGCUUUCCCCCGUAGGGCGUAUGCGGUAUUAGCCUGGGUUUCCCCAGGUUAUCCCCCACUACCGGGCAGAUUCCUAUGCAUUACUCACCCGUCCGCCGCUCGCCACCAGGGAGCAAGCUCCCCGUGCUGCCGCUCGACUUGCAUGUGUUAGGCCUGCCGCCAGCGUUCAAUCUGAACCAAGAUCAAACUCUGA